rnacentral:rRNA from 1 species
GAUGAACGCUGGCGGCGUGCUUAACACAUGCAAGUCGAACGUGAGAGGUAGCAAUAUCUUGAAAGUGGCGAACGGGUGAGUAACACGUAGGUGACCUGCCUCGGAGUGGGGGAUAACAGUUAGAAAUGACUGCUAAUACCGCAUGAAUCCACGGGAUUGGGAAAUUCGGUGGAGAAAACUCUGGUGCUUCGAGAGGGGCCUGCGGUCGAUUAGCUAGUUGGCGGGGUAACGGCCCACCAAGGCGACGAUCGAUAGCUGGUCUGAGAGGACGAUCAGCCACACGGGAACUGAGACACGGUCCCGACUCCUACGGGGGGCAGCAGUGAGGAAUAUUGGGCAAUGGGCGGAAGCCUGACCCAGCAACGCCGCGUGAAGGAAUGAA